rnacentral:rRNA from 1 species
UACGUAGGGUGCGAGCGUUAAUCGGAAUUACUGGGCGUAAAGGGCGCGUAGGCGGCCUACUAAGUCGGACGUGAAAUCCCUCGGCUCAACCGAGGAACUGCGUCCGAUACUGGUGGGCUUUGAAUCCGGGAGAGGGAUGUGGAAUUCCAGGUGUAGCGGUGAAAAUGCGUAGAUAUCUGGAGGAACACCGGUGGCGAAGGCGGCAUCCUGGACCGGUAUUGACGCUGAUGCGCGAAAAGCCAGGGGGAGCAAAACGGGGAUUAGAAAACCCCCCAG